ACCGAUGAAGGCGAUUACCAGGUCAAGCUGCGCAAUCUGCGCCGCUUUAUCGAAGAGGGCGACAAGGCCAAGGUGACUUUGCGUUUCCGCGGCCGCGAAAUGGCCCACCAGGAACUUGGCAUGCGCGUUCUCGAGCGCGUGCGCGACGAUCUCACCGAGUUGUGCCUGGUCGAAGCCAUGCCCAAGCUGGAAGGCCGCCAGAUGGUGAUGGUAUUGGCGCCACGCAAGAAAGUGACUCCCGGCAAACCUGGCGACGCGACCUCCUGAACCUGAACUCUUUCAUUCCCGCGCGCCGGCGGUUUACGGCGCA
rnacentral:misc_RNA from 1 species